rnacentral:rRNA from 1 species
UACGUAGGGGGCAAGCGUUGUCCGGAUUUAUUGGGCGUAAAGAGCUCGUAGGCGGUCUGUCGCGUCGGCUGUGAAAACUCGGGGCUCAACCCCGAGCCUGCAGUCGAUACGGGCAGACUAGAGUGCGGUAGGGGAGACUGGAAUUCCUGGUGUAGCGGUGAAAUGCGCAGAUAUCAGGAGGAACACCGGUGGCGAAGGCGGGUCUCUGGGCCGUAACUGACGCUGAGGAGCGAAAGCGUGGGGAGCGAACAGG